GGCGAGGGGAGUGAAAAAGAACCUGAAACCGUGUACGUACAAGCAGUGGGAGCACAGGUUUACCUGUGUGACUGCGUACCUUUUGUAUAAUGGGUCAGCGACUUAUAUUCUGUAGCAAGGUUAACCGUAUAGGGGAGCCGGAGGGAAACCGAGUCUUAAUUGGGCGUUAAGUUGCAGGGUAUAGACCCGAAACCCGGUGAUCUAGCCAUGGGCAGGUUGAAGGUUGGGUAACACUAACUGGAGGACCGAACCGACUAAUGUUGAAAAAUUAGCGGAUGACCUGUGGCUGGGGGUGAAAGGCCAAUCAAACCGGGAGAUAGCUGGUUCUCCCCGAAAGCUAUUUAGGUAGCGCCUCGUGAAUUCAUCUCCGGGGGUAGAGCACUGUUUCGGCUAGGGGGCCAUCCCGGCUUACCAACCCGAUGCAAACUGCGAAUACCGGAGAAUGUUAUCACGGGAGACACACGGCGGGUGCUAACGUCCGUCGUGAAGAGGGAAACAACCCAGACCGCCAGCUAAGGUCCCAAAGUCAUGGUUAAGUGGGAAACGAUGUGGGAAGGCCCAGACAGCCAGGAUGUUGGCUUAGAAGCAGCCAUCAUUUAAAGAAAGCGUAAUAGCUCACUGGUCGAGUCGGCCUGCGCGGAAGAUGUAACGGGGCUAAACCAUGCACCGAAGCUGCGGCAGCGACGCUGAUGCGUUGUUGGGUAGGGGAGCGUUCUGUAAGCCUGUGAAGGUGGCCUGUGAGGGUUGCUGGAGGUAUCAGAAGUGCGAAUGCUGACAUAAGUAACGAUAAAGCGGGUGAAAAGCCCGCUCGCCGGAAGACCAAGGGUUCCUGUCCAACGUUAAUCGGGGCAGGGUGAGUCGACCCCUAAGGCGAGGCCGAAAGGCGUAGUCGAUGGGAAACGGGUUAAUAUUCCCGUACUUGGUGUUACUGCGAAGGGGGGACGGAGAAGGCUAUGUUGGCCGGGCGACGGUUGUCCCGGUUUAAGCGUGUAGGUGUGUGUUCCAGGUAAAUCCGGUUCACUUUAACACUGAGGCGUGAUGACGAGGCACUACGGUGCUGAAGCAACAAAUGCCCUGCUUCCAGGAAAAGCCUCUAAGCAUCAGGUAACAUCAAAUCGUACCCCAAACCGACACAGGUGGUCAGGUAGAGAAUACCAAGGCGCUUGAGAGAACUCGGGUGAAGGAACUAGGCAAAAUGGUGCCGUAACUUCGGGAGAAGGCACGCUGACACGUAGGUGAAGUGAUUUACUCAUGGAGCUGAAGUCAGUCGAAGAUACCAGCUGGCUGCAACUGUUUAUUAAAAACACAGCACUGUGCAAACACGAAAGUGGACGUAUACGGUGUGACGCCUGCCCGGUGCCGGAAGGUUAAUUGAUGGGG
rnacentral:rRNA from 1 species